UACGAAGGGGGCUAGCGUUGCUCGGAAUCACUGGGCGUAAAGCGCACGUAGGCGGAUUGUUAAGUCGGUGGUGAAAUCCUGGAGCUCAACUCCAGAACUGCCUUCGAUACUGAGAGUCUCGAGUCCGGGAGAGGUGAGUGGAACUGCGAGUGUAGAGGUGAAAUUCGUAGAUAUUCGCAAGAACACCAGUGGCGAAGGCGGCUCACUGGCCCGGUACUGACGCUGAGGUGCGAAAGCGUGGGGAGCAAACAGGG
rnacentral:rRNA from 1 species